GCCUGGAUAGCUCAGUUGGUUAAAGCAUGGUGCUGAUAAAGCCAAGGUUGAGCGUUUGAUCCCCGUACAGGACA